GUGUAUCUGAAGACAGCGCAUCCUUGCCUGAGUUGGCUCUCCUUCCACUGUGCCUGCGUGGGCAUCUGACAUACGUUCUCAGGCUUGCACCAGAUAGCUUUACCUGCUUAGUCAGCUCACUGGCUCUUUUUGCAUUUCCUACAAGGCUAAUUAUUAUGAUGAUAAAGGAAUCUCUUUAGCUUAUGCUUACUGGGAAUACCUUAACUUUGUCCUUAUUUCUAGGAAGAUAGGUUUGCCUGAUAAAAAAUUCUCAGUUGACCAGUUUUCUUUUGCAAUAACUUUAAAAAGUGAUUUGUGUGAAUGGGCCCGCUUGUCUGCAUGUGCACCAUGAAGUGCCCAUGGGGCCGAAGGCACUGGAUCUCCUUGGUACUGAUGUUGUCACAGGCAGUUAUGAGAUGCCUUAUGUGGGUAUUGACUGCUGUGCCACCUCUCCAGUCUCUCUUUUGCAUUUUGAAUAUAUAAAUGUAUCAUCUAUUCCCAAGACUUCUUAAAAAAAAAUCAGUGAUAAUCUUGGGAGUCCCAUGUAUCUGAGAAGUUAUUUCUCACUUGCUAUUUUAAGAUUCUAUGUUGCUGGCCCUCCUAAGUCUCUCUAGACGUGUCCUGUUUUCUUUUGUUGUUGUUGUUGUUGUUGUUUUUUGUUUGUUUUGUUUUUGUUUUUUCAAGACAGGGUUUCUCUAUAGCCCUGGCUGUUCUGGAACUCACUCUGUAGACCAGGCUGGCCUUGAACUCAGAAAUCCGUCUGCCUCUGCCUCCCAAGUGCUGGGAUUAAAGGCAUGUGCCACCACUGCCUGGCUGUCCUGUUUUCUUGGACACACACAUUCUUAUUUUGGGGAGCUUUGAACAUUUUCUGUGCUCUGUGCUUCUUCUCAAUUUGUGUUCUAAGUUGUGCAACAAUCUUACAGCACAGUGGAGCCUCUGGUGGUUUGAAUGAGAUGUCCCUCACAGCCUCAGACACUUGAGCUCUUGGUCCCCAUUUGGUGGUGGAGUUUGGGAGGCUUUGAGAGCUUAAAGCCUUGCCCAGCUCCGAGUUUGCUCUACCCGUGCUUACUGUCAAGUCUGUGAGCUUUUUGCUUCCAUUCCAGCUGCCAUGCCUCUACUCAGCCAUCAGCCUCACCCCUCUGGAGCCAGAAGCCAAAAUGAACUCUUCUAUAAGUCUCCUUGGUUAUGGUGUUUUAUCACAGCAACCAAAAAGUAAUGGAUAUGGGGUUCCAUGGGCUCCUUACAUUGUUUCCUGUUAUACCUUACAUUUCUAAGGCUUAAUAACUUCCAAAUUUGCUAUUUGUCUAUUCAAAUCUACUCCAGCAUGCCUCUGGGGAAUUUCUCAUUUCUGUUAUUAUACUUCUUUUUGAUACACACACGUACACACACACAUCAUUCAUAUAUAUAUAUAUAUAUAUGUAUAUAUAUUAUAUAUAUAUGAUCUUGGUUUUAUUCAUACAUUUCUUAAUAGAUGUUAUUCAUGCCUCUUUUGGAGAUGUAAGCAUCUUUAAGGAAGUCUUGUCCAAUGACUCUGAUGUGUUGAUUUCUACUGGGACACUUUAUUUAUCUUUUGAAUACACUACAUUUUCCUGAUUCUUUGUAUGUGUAACUUUGUUGAUGGAAAUUAAAAAUGUUGAGUCAUGAAAUUACACCUCUGAGAAUCAGUCUUUUUUUUUUUUAAGAUUUAUUUCAUGUAUGUGAGUACAUUGUAGCUGUAUAGAUAGUUGUGGGCCUUCAUGUGGUUGUUGGGAAUUGAAUUUUUAGGACCUCUGCUCACUCUGGUCAACCCCGCCUUUCUGGUCUGGCCUGCUUGCUCCAGCCAAAAGAUUUAUUAUUAUAUGUAAGUACACUGUAGCUGUCUUCAGACGCACCAGAAGAGGGUGUCAGAUCUCAUUACAGGUGGUUGUGAGCCACUAUGUGGUUGCUGGGAUUUGAACUCAGGAUCUUUGGAAGAGCAGUCAGUGCUCUGACCCGCUGAGCCAUUUUUGAUGACUGAAAGGUAUCUUGGUGCUACGAGUCAAUCUGAAUGAAAAGCCCAGAGCCUUUUAUUUUAUUUUUUUUACUUUUUGGUUUUUUUGAGACAGGGUUUCUCUGUGUAGCCCUGGCUGUCCUGGAACUCACUCUGGAGACCUGGCUGGCCUCAAACUCAGAAAUCAGCCUGCCUCUGCCUCCCAAGUGCUGGGAUUAAAGGCGUAUGCCAACACUGCCAGGCCCCAGAGCCUUCUAUAUUCCUUUGGGUCUCCUCCUUUUCCUGACCAUGCACGACUGACUUCUAAAUUUGCCCUUACACUAGGUUACUUUUUUUUUUUUAACACUAGGUUGAAUGUUAUGAUCCUUAUUUUAUAUGCAUGGGUAUUCUGCCUGUGUGUAUGUCUUGCUGGCUACUCCGUGGGUGCCAGGAACAAACCUGGGUCUCUGGGAGAGCAUCCAGUGCUCUUAACUAUUGAGACAUCUCUCCAACCCCUAACUAAUCUUUAUCUACAGGUUGUUUUAAACUUUGUGGAAGUUACUUAAGCUAGGGGAGUUGACACAUGAUGGCCAGCCUCUGUGCCUGCUUCUCAGGAAACCAAAACAGCAGUUGCCACACAGCACCCCACUAUCUGGAGGGCAAAGUGUUCUGUUUGUUUGGCCCUGGUGGUGUGAACCAGAAAUGUACACGGGGCUGUCACUGGCUGAGUAACUGAAGUAAGUAGAAAUUAACCGCAGUGUACCAAGCAAGCUUACCUUGGCAGCCAGCUUCAACGUUUUGACAAGUAUGAUUGCUCUCAACUGGAGGGUUGCCCCAGUUGCUGUCCUUGUUGCUGAGACCGGAGGGCAGAGUCUGGACAUUGAUCCUGUUUCCACACUCUUCUGGAAGAAGCAAACAUCUUCGAUUAGGUAAGUCUACCUGGGCCCCAGCACAUUAAGUGACAGGAAGAGGGAAGCAGCCAGCCCUUGCCCACCUGUGUAAGGAGAGUCCCAAUGCGUUCUGCCUACGAUGCGCCGGUUCUCCUUGGAGCAGGCCUUGCAGACCACUGCCUUCAGGUUGUGGAACUUGGUGAGCCACGAUCUCUGCAAACAGACCAGAUGAAAGAGUGGGAUUGAACAGAGCAGGGUGUGAGGUGGCAGGGGUGGGAUUCAACCUACUAGUGGUCUCUGUCCCCACAUCAAACAGUGUAGGGUCAUGCUCUGCACCAGGCGAAGAGGCUCUGCGCCUCUCCAUUACCAUGAUCUGAAGAGGGUCUUAGAUGACUGUUCCCCUCAUGAGUCCCCUGGAAAUGGCAGCAAAUACCUAUGAUGUCUGCCUCUAUCUUGUGUAGAUUAAACAGUCAUAGCUAAAAACUACUCUCCUGACAAUCUAUGAACACUUAGUGGAGGUGUUGGGGUCAAACGCCAGCAGCAGACGGGGGUCUGAUUAUUAGCUGUUCUGGUAGCUUCUUGAAUUACUAGUCAAAUUUCAUCUUAGAUAAUUCUUUUAAGUGGGCUUGGUGUGAGAUGGAGUGCUCAAUUGUGUAUUUUGAGGUACAUAGACAAGGAUAACUGGCAGCGGUGUUCCAGGGCUGCAUUUUCUUCUGCCACCGCUGCCAGAGUAACAUCCAGAUCUGAGGGAAGGGCUGCCCACUUGUUCUGCUCCUCUAAGUUCUAAACACUCACAAACCCUGCAACACCCUGGAACUUUGGUGAGAAAUGGUGACAGCGACACAUUGCCAAAUGUUUUCCCUGUGGUGUGAAAACUUGGGAGUGUUUUAUCUAACAGAUCAGCAUGUUCUCUCACAAUCACACCGCCUUCUCAUCCCUGUGGGUAAGAAAACAUUCCAAAUGAGCUUGGCGGGAGGCCUCAUUUGGAAAUCUUCCAGGAAUCAUGAAGCAAUUCUACUGAGGAGGGCUGAGUCAGUAGUCGGGGUCCCCAGGCCAUGGGCAGCCUUUCAUAGCAGAAGGGUCUUCCCCAGCUAGUCUGCUGUCUGGGGGAACCCCUCUAUAGAUGGUGCAAGCCUUCCUCUCAGCUCAUUCUCCCUACAGGAGCCACUAGCUAGGUGAACACCAAGUGCUGCUGCUGAGCACGCCAACCUCAUGUGUGGAGAACAGUUAUGGAAAUGUAAGCAUGGUUCUAGCAGCUGUGUGAGGUGAUGGGGGUGAUGCCGGAGAACAUGCCUGCUUUCCUAAAGCUUCCUACAGUGAGAUGGGCAGACCUUCUAGGCUCAUUACAGUGACUGACUUCAAACGUACUUGUUCCACUAUACAAGAACCAGGACUCACAUUUUGUUCCAAAAGAACUUCCACGGCAUAUCCCUUUUCAGACUGCAGGUACUUCUGAUGGAAAAGCUUGCCAUCAAACACAUUCCAGGGCAUAAACUCACUUGUUGUCCAGGGGAAGCCACAUGCGCUAUUGACUAGUACCAAUGUGGUGAGGCCACGGACGAGGAGGGAUCCCAGCUGCACAGCUCUGGAGUUAAUGUAAUCCAGCUGUGGAGACAGAUGUGCACCAAUAGCUCAAAGCAGAGAGCUCAAGGUAGAAGUCAAAUGUGAGAAACAAAAAGAUAACUCAAGGGUCGAUGCUUGCAAAGUCCUGAAUAGGACGCUCGGCCUCCUGAGAGCUUCUGAAUGAAAGAGGCCUGACAAGCAAGCUACACCAGAGAAGGAUGACAGGAGCCCCUCCCAUCGCCCACGAACACACCUCUGUUCACCAUUCACCCACUAGGGCAGCAGGUACUCACAAGGGCUCUCUCGUUACACAGACCCAGAACAGUCAUUCUGGUUGUAAUGGUUUGAAUGGGACCAGUUCCCAUGGACUCUUUAAAUUUGAAAGCUUGAUCCUCAGUUGGUGGAACUGUUUGAAAGGGAUUAGGAGGUGUGGCCUUGUUGGAGGAGGAGGUGUGUCAUUGGGAGUGGGCUUUGAAGUUUCAAUAGCCCAUACCAUUCCCAGUCUCUCCCCACAGCUGCCUGCCUGCCUUGGCCUUGUGGAUCGUAUGAGUCCUUAGUGACUGCUCUUGUGCCGUGCUCCCUGCCUGCUGCCGUGCUCCCUGCCUGCUGCCGAGCUCCCCAUCAUGAUCAUCAAGGACACAUCUGUCUUGUCUCAGUGACAGAAAAGUAACUGAGACACUGCCGUAGGAAAAUAUGGGCUAUCACAAGAUGUGGCCACUAAGUCAAACUUACAAGAUCAUUUAUUGUUAGGUUUAUUCUCCUGAAAAACACAGGGAGAGAAGUCCCCUGUUUUUAAAAAUCAUACGUCAUCUCAUUUCAGUUGAAUACCAUUAAGAAUAAAAUGCCACAUGGUAAAAUCUCAAAAGGUGCCCGGGUUUUUACAAAUUAAGAAUGUCUUGCCUGAGCUCUGGAGAGAUGGUUCAGUGGUUAAGUGGCUGCUCCUGAGAAUCCCAGCACCCACAUGGCAACUGUCUAUAACCUCAGCUAUAGAGGGUCCAAUGCCCUCAUCUGGCUUUUAAAGGUAGAGUACAGAGGUGCGCAUGGUGCACAGACACACAUGCAGGCAAAAGACUCAUACACAUAAAAUUAAAAUAGAUGAAUAAAAAAAAUCUCAAAAAGGAGAAUCUCUUGCUACCAUGAAAUACUUCUUUUCUUUGUAAAUUCCAUCUGUACAUCCAACUUUCUUUGUUGUUGUUCUUUAUGCGGCAUAAGGUUCCACAUCCCACAGGAAGCCACGCGUAUUCCCAUGGAUCUGUGAUGCUGACCGUGCUGCAGGCAUCAACACUGCAGAUGUCCAAGAAACCCCAUUGAAAGGGGAGCACAAGUAAGCCAGCCACCUCUGGGCAUCUGUUUUGCUCACACUGACCAAUGCUACCUUGAACACCAUGACAUAUCUAAGAGUUAAUAAAAGUGAAAAAAAGGUUAGAGAGGUGAUCGUUGUUUCAACCAUUUUAUACACAAGGCCGCACUUAAAUGAAUUUGACAAUUAUUUAAAAAACUAUCAGAAAUACAGUGGUGCAUGUCUGUAGUUCCAGAAUGGUGGAGGCUGAGGCAUGCUGACUGUCACAAAGCUCAUGACUCCCCAGGUCUGCAUGGUGAGUUCCAGUCCAGCAGGGGAUACAGUGUGAGACCCUGUCUCUCUAAAUAAAAAGUUGCUUACUGUGAGCCUGGAUCACUGCAGACUCAGCCUUUAAUCCUAAGGGCUCAGCUUCAGCUCCAUAGGCUGUUUAUAUAGAGGUCUGGCUCUGAGAAGCUCAUUCCAGAGCCACUGGGGGAUACUUUGUAGGCUCUGACGGGGCUCUGCACUAGUGCAAACUUUCUAUGCAUGGGCUGCAGAGUCUACUAUGAGCAGAACUGAACUUAACGAACUAUUCUCAAAGCCCAUUAAUACCACCCUAUUUUCCUUUCAUCGACUCUAUGAGUAAAGUGAGCAGACGUCCAGAGGCAUAAAGUCUUCUUUCUUUCAUGUGUUUUUUUUUUUUUUUUUUAAUCAAGGGUACAUUCUCUGGGGGAGGUGGGUAGGGCUCUCUAUGUAGCCCUGGCUGCCCUGGAUCUUGCUAUGUAGAUCCUGCCUCUGCCUGCCUCUGUCCCAGGAGCUGGGAUUAAAGGCAUGCACCACCACACCUAGCACCAGGGCAAGUCUGGACCUACAGAUCACACUUACAUUUAACUUGUACCUAGGCAAUUCAGUUUAGUAAAAUAGUUUUGAGGGCAUUGCCUUCACAGCUCAGUUUCUAUGUGCUCACUGGUAAUAUAUGGACACUGACUGAAUUCUGUAUGCGGGGCUGUCAUCCUGUUUUGUUUUGGUUUUGCAAUUCCCUCAAGACUUUCCUUUUAGAGGACUUCUGGAUAAGACGGCACAACAGAAGCCACGUUGGAUGCAGUCACUGAUUACAAUUUGGGAAUUAAGGGGAAUAUGAAUAUUUUAUCACUCCAUCUGCUACUUUUCCAAGCCUGAAAUAGAUUUGAUCAACACCUCAACCAACCUCUCUACCAUGGGAGCCGUAGGACCCGUGGGCUACUAUGAAUGAAUUUGCAGCUGCCACUCAGACAGCGACUCCUACCCCUUCCUUCCAAAGCAGCAUUCCCUGUAAGCAAAAUGGGCUGGAAAACUCCUACCAGGAAAUCUACCAAACAUGCUGUGGUAAAAAUGUCACAUAAGCGGGUCCUGGUGGUUGCUACCGGGAACACUGUCAACACUCCAAAUGAGGAAACACAAAAUUUCCGAGGGAGCUAAACACAAACUCUCACAGUGCUUUGGGUACAGCUCCCUGUCCUGUGGGAGGGCAGAACUUUAGCAGCACCAAGUUUACCUCAGCUCUCCACAGCCAACAAAACAGUUAAGAAAACUCCAUUUGCAAGGGGAGCUGGAAGCCCACAGCAGAGAAAAUGGGGCCAUUUAAAACCAAAGGGAACACAGCCUAGACCAGAACCAAGGAGACAGAGUGGCAGAGCAGCCAAGGAGAAGAAGCCAACACUCGGGCUCUGCUCACAUUUUCUUUUAUGACCGACCACCCAGCUCUCCUUCCCCACGACAGCUAUUCCUUAUCUACAUAGCACAGGGAGGCACGGUAACAGGCCAACACUGGCCCCUACGUAGGACGGGGAGGCACGGUAACAGGUCAAUGCUGUCCACUACAUAGCACAGAGAGACACUGUAACAGGCCAAGGCUGUCUCCUACAUAGCCCAGGAAGGCACAGUUAUAGGCCAACUCUGUCCCCUACAUAGCACGGGGAGGCACUGUAACAGGCCAAUGCUGUCCCCUACUGUUCAUAUUACACAUUCUUACACUCUUCUUUCUUAACCUUUUCUUUUCUUUUAAAUCUUCCUUUCUCUCUUCUGAUGCUUAUUCCACUUGAUUCUACACCUCUGAGAGCCGAGAGGCUGACUUGGUUUGCAACCACUGAGUAUCUAUCUUUACCUUUUCUUAGUCUACAACUAAUCCAAAGCCCCGCAUAUCCACCCCACUCCCCCUUGGCCCUGACUAUCACCAGGCCUAUUCAUGCCCCUCCCCUCUGCUUCCCACCUAGUGGCCCAAGCUUACUGCUAGGUUCAUGGUGACUGUCCAGCUCUUUUCUACUUUGCAUCCAUCCUAGCAUUAUUAGUAUUCAUAGUACUGCCAGGGUCCAUUUACUUUCUACACUAAUCCCGACUUAGCAAGUGUGUUCUGCAGUUACCUGCAACUCCAUUACUGGAGUGGGGUAACUACUGGAACUAUAGUCCCCAACCCACAGGGGCAGAGCAUAGAUUGAACCUGGCGCUUAGAACAACAGUCUAAGAGAUGAAAAUGUAGCUAUAGUACAACCUCGUCUCUUCCAAAUACUGCAAAUAUGACCACUCGGAGAAGAGAGGCAAGCUGAAUUCACAGAAAACAGCCAACACAUCUUAUCUUUACCUGUACUCUAACCACAGAUUGGCAAAUCCCAGGGCAAGACCACAAGGAACAUGAAAAACCAAGGCAACUCAUUUCCAGACGUCAUCAACUGCAUACUAAUGACUGAUAACUACUGUUAUUUAGAUGAAACUCUGGAUGUAUGAUUGAAGAGAAUGACUAUAAAUAUGGUAAAUAUUAUCAGGAGGACUCCAGUAUUUUCUGAGAACACAAACAGGCAACAGAAAGGAUUAAGACGCCAAUACACAACAUGAAAGGAGAGUAAGAUAAAUACUGAAGAAAACCUAAACCAGAAUGGUAAUGGAAUGAAAAACACAAUAGGAAAUCAAAGUCCAGGGGGGCGUCAGCAAUAGAAUGGAUCACAAAGACACAGAAUAUCAAGGUACGAACUCUGCUCCUUGGUGUGGACCCAGGAUCCCCCUAGAUUUCUCCCAGUGCCCCUCCCUUUCAAUCUUUCUUCUAGCCCAUCUCCACUCCUCUGUGACAUUCACAGAUCCACAGUACCACUUUCUACGAGGGAGUCCCAGUGCCCGCACCAAUCUGGGGCCCAGGAGGCAACCUUGACUAUCCUACCUGUCCUCCACUGCAGCCUCUCCAGAGCUCCUUCAGCCCUGCUGAAGUCUGCAGCAGGAGCCCUUCCUCUCACCCCUGAGGACUCACUCCACCUCUCGGUGCAGACCUACUUCCUACCCACUGCCCUCUUCAGCCUUUCCUUCUAGGCCACCUCUAUUCCUCUGUGACAUUCCCUGGCCUCUCCAAACACUCUCUAUCAGAGACCCUACAGCUACCACACUCUGCUGUACGUGGCCUCUGGGACUCCACUUUCUUCAACAGAGCCACAAAGCAGAUGCAAAGCAUUGCAUGCUGGGUGAGGAUACAGGAAGGGCAGCCUGGCUUCACCUUGCUGUGAACCAGUGGAUGUGAGGGUGGGCUGGACCAGAAAAGGAACUGUUUCUCUGACACCAACAAGGCUGACAAAGGCUUCUCAAACUGUGAGAUGACCAGGCCAGGAGGUGAAACAACCUGCUCCUGAGAAGCAGGGUAUAAUAGCUGUCUGUGUUGGAAAGGACAGCCAUCUUGGAGUUACUGACAGAGGAUGACAAUACUAUGUGGAGACACCCUCACCGAACAUGCCCGCCUUGACCAUCCUAUGGAGUACCAACUACAACAGCAGAAAGGCUAGAAAGAGUAUUGACCACGUGAUCACAGCACGGUUACAGCCAUGGCUGUGGUGACUGACCGUGACUACGUGAUCACAGCAUGGUCACAUCCAUGGCUGUGGUGACUGACCGUGACUAUACCUGUAAGUGCAUGAGCUGGGAGGUUGAUUUUCCUUGGAGGCACAAGGCCUGAGCGAUAAAUGCAUGCAGAUCUUCCAGGGAAAGAGUGUCCACCUGAAAAGCACAGGAAAGGGCCAGCGUGAGUAUACUGAAAACAAGCAACACUUUUUAUAAGUGGGUCUCAGUUGCCAAAUAUGGGUGUGUUUACACACACACACACACACACACUCACACACACACACACACACACAGAGGAAAACGUAUGGGUGUACAUACAGCUGUGCAGUGAGUGAACCAGUGGCAUGGGAAGAUGGGGAGAGCAAGUCUCUGCUCUCGUCAUCCACAACUCUAGGCCACAAAGCUCUCAAGUGGGGCAAACACUUCUCUGUAAAAUGUACAAAACAGAUGGCUCAGAGGCUGAGGUGGGGUACCCACGAGUAUCGGAACACCCACGACUAUCGGAACACCCACUUCGACAAUCCUGGAUGUAGCCUUCAUCCUUGGAUCUCAGCAACAUAACUCAGGGCCCUCCCACUCUGUGGAAUCAAAAAGUCAAAGUGUGGGGGGAAAACCCAAAUGGAGACAGAGAGAGAUUAACUCGGCCUUUAAAGUAAGUUAUGUGAUGAGGAGACCCAAAGACAUGGUGUCUCUGCCCACUCAGUUUCACGCACUCCUGAUGCUGACACUGCCUGCGCUUAGCCACGAUGAUAGUAGUCUUCAGUGCCAACUCUACUGGACUUUGGGUCACCCUGGAAACAUGCUUGUGGGUGUGUCUAUGAGGGUGCUUCAGCAAUGUGACCCGCUGUCUCUGACAUCCCCACCAUAAUGAACUACACAUCCUCAAACUGUACAAACCAGAAUAAACCCUUCCUCGCUUAGCACUGCUUCUGUCAGGUGUCUGAUCGUGGCAAUGAGAAAGGCGACUGACCCACGUGUCUAGUUAGCUGUCCAGUGCUGUGAUGAAACUGUGUCACCAGAAGCAGCGUGGGGUGGUGGCAGGGCAUUUUGCUGAAAUUUCUAAAUCACGGGGUAUCAUCAAAGGAAGCCAAAGCAUCCACUGGCAGCCAGGAAGUGGAAACCAUGGAGGGUGCUGCUUACUCGCUUGUUCCUAUGGCUUGCUCUGCCUGCUUUCACAUAGCAUACAAGAUCACCCCCAGGAAUGGCAUCACCAACAGUGAGCUAGACCUCCGCCCCCUCCCGCAUCAAUCAAGAAAACGCACCAUGGGCUUUCCCACACACCAACUUGAUGGGGGCAUUUUCUCAACCAAGGUUCCUUCUUCCGAAAUGACUCUGGCUUCUGUCAAACUGACAUAUAAGUGGCCAGCACAGUGACCGCACUGGUAAUCAAUUAGGAGCAAUAUGCUAAUCACUCCCGCAAUUCUACUCUUACACAAGAGCUCUUCAGAGGGAGGAGUACACGGUGGCAGCAAAAACCAGGGGGGAAACAACAGUGACAACCCACUGGUAAAAUUAAGCCAAGAUCACCUGGGAAAUAAAAUGCUUGCAUGCCUCUGUCGGAUAAAAUGGUCCCUAUAAACCAUAAAGAAUAUGGGCUUUAUACCACCCUCACCCUGAAACCCCCCUGGAAAGAUACUGUACAGGGCUUGACCCAGGUACGAGCUACCAGUCACAGGUCACGAGUCAUGGAGAUCUGGAAAUUCAGACCUGCCACUCUCCUGUUCCAUGUUUAUUUCAAAGGAUGCACCAUUAUUAGACAAAACAUGAAGAUGUAGGACUUAUGACAAGGCCAAGCACACAUAUAGAUUAUAAAAUCCAUGAGCUGCCAUCUCUGCUUAGACUGAGGUCCACUGGUAUGUAAUUUUACCCACAAUUAGUCGAGUUUGGAGCCUCAUCUUUUUUUUUUUUUUUUUUUUUUGUUUCUCUAUUUAGCCCUGGCUGUCCUGGAACUUACUCUGUAGACCAGGCUGGCCUCGAACUAAAAAAUCUGCCUGCCUCUGCCUCCCAAGUGCUGGGAUUAAAGGUGUGCACCACCAUGCCCGGCAUGACACUAGCCCAACUCUCAUGUGUCUUUUCUCACAGUUAACUAAGCAUGAGUGUUAAUUUGAUGGGAUUUAGAAUUCACCAUUGAAACAAACAUCUGGACAUGGCUGUUGGGAGUCUCUAAACUGGGUUAGCCAAAAUGGAAGAACCAACCCCAAUGUAGGUGGAACCAUUUUGUGGGCAACAGUCCCAGGCUGAAUAAAAACAAGAAAAUAUGCAUAGCACCAGCAUUUAUUAUUCUGCCCAUGAAUAGGAUCAACUGCCUUGAGCCCAUGCUACCAUGGCCUUGCUGUUCUCCCUGUCAUGAUGGAUUGUCCCCUCAAACUCUGAGCCACAGUAAUGUCUUUCCUAGUGUGGCUUUGGCCAGGGAUUUUACUGUACCAAUAAUCAAAGUAAAAACUAUAAUGCAUGUCCAAGAUUUCCUCAAAUCAGACACACCCACAUGGUGGCUCACAUCCAACCGUAUCUCCAGUUCCAGAGAAUCUAAACCCCUCUUCUGACCUCCAUGGGUACCAGGCACAUAGGCAGUGCACACAAACAUGGGAUGGGUGGAACAAAAUACUCAUAUACUUAAAAUGAAAUAUUUUUAAAAAGGCAAUUUAAGUUCAACUAUAUAAAAUUAUAUUUUAUGAUCUAUACUUCUAGGCUUGCCACAGUUUCUGAGAAAAGUCAACACUGUGAACAAACAUGUACACCACUUACUUAUCGAUACACUAAUCCCUUGCUGUGAAAAGUCCUGACUUGUCAUCUCCAUGAGCACCUUGAAGGACUAAUUGUGUUCUGUGGAAAGAGACCACGGGACCUGGCCAUAGAAACACGCACAGCACUCCGGGAAGACAUUAUAGUAUUUAAAACACAGAGGAAGAACAGCAUGGAGACCAUCGUCUAUCCCACCGGAGCACCGAAGUAAAGAGUGAGAGAUUCACUUCUGUUCAAGACGGUAAAGGCCAUUUCUUCAUGAAAAUGAUACUUCUGCAUACAUCAGAGUUUAAUAUUAAAGAAACCCCGCGAUUUGUGAAAUAUAUCCAGAAUCGGAGAUAAGCUGAAGUGGUGAGCAAGGGACUCCCAGGCUGAGCGAGUGGUGACCAUUUUUCACUCCCAGCCUUCAGUCCCUGGAGUUUAGGGACUCAACUCCAGGAGACAGCUUUCGAAGCGGAGGUGAAGACUUAAAGCGGCUAACAAAAGAGAGUGCCCUGGGGUUACUCAGCGGUACAGUGCUGGCCUAGCAUCCAGAGGGCCUAGGUUUGAGCCUCAGCACUAAAAUAAGAACAAGUCAACUCUUAAUUUUUUCACUUCUUGUCACAGAAGUUUCUGAUCACUAUGUACUGAUGUGUGUAACCACUGGUACAUUUAUACUGAGCAGAGCCAUAAAAAUGACUGCUGCCUGGGAAGAGCUUGCAGCAAACAGAUUCUCCCUCAGGUGUAGUGGUUCACGCUUUUAAUCUCAGCACUUGGGAAGUAGCAGAGAGAGGUGGAUCUCUGUGAGUUCAAGGCUAGUGUGGACAGUAUAGAGAGUCCAAGACAGUCAGGGCUACAGAGAGAGCCUGUCUCAAAACAGAAAAAAGACUAUGCAAGCAAAUUGAAGUUUAAGAAUGCAAAGAUUAAGGGCUAUUGUUUAGCCUUCUGGCAGACAGGUGCCUAACAUGCAGAAGUCUCCAGGUUAAAUCUCAGUUAUGAAAAAGAAAUAUAAAUUACUUCAGGUCAAAUGGAGAAAAGAACUGGGGAAGGGGCUCUGAGGAGGUUUCAAGAGGAAAGGCAGGCUCAUUCGGCCUGGGCGCUGUUGGAAUAACAUGGCUUCUGGAAUUGUAGGCAGACAGCAAUGAGCACGAGCUAAGACCCUGUCCCUUCCUUCUCUUAUAACCAAACAUCAUGUGCAGGAGAUCAGAGAGUCCAGACACAGUGGGAUCACCCGGUGCUCCCUUUGCUGAGAGUCCAGACACAGUGGGAUCACCUGGUGCUCCCUUUGCUGAGAGUCCAUUGACAGAGGGAGAUCACCUGGUGCUCCCUUUGCUGAGAGUCCAUUGACAGAGGGAGAUCACCUGGUGCUCCCUUUGCUGAGAGUCCAGACACAAUGGGAUCACCCGGUGCUCUUUUUGCUCACACACAGAAGUCUAGUAUCACAGCAGCUGUAUGACAGAGCAACUGAAAUGACAAGGGUUAUUUAAGCUCACAGUUUCAGAGGAGUUCGCAGCCUUACAACAGUGACCCGAGGCAGCAGCUUACUCACACUGCCACCCACAAGCUGUAGACACAUGUCAUAACCCAAAGCAGGGGAGACCCGCUGUUACAGACCCACUGUUUCAGCCAGACCCUACCUCCUAACGUACUCACAGCCUUUACCACAGCACCACUAUCCAAGGACCAACGGUUGGAAAUAUGAGCCUGCAGGGAAUUUCAUCAGAUUUAAGUCAUAACAUGUGAUCUGUGGAGAAUGUUCAGAAGCAAUUACAGACCGUCCAUGUGACAUGUGCUUCUGACACUGGGUACUAAGCUGGGAACGAGACUGACCCAGUGUGAGCGUUCAGCGAGCUCAUGCAUGGGCUAGGGGGAACAUCAGAAACUGACCAAAUGAUGGCUGCUAUCGCAGUCUUAACAAGAGAGUUCCGUGAAGAAGACAGAUGUGAGCUAAGACUGAAGACAGAGGAGUCAGCUGGGGCGAAGAGACACUCAGGGAUGGCAGAUGUCUCAGGCCUUUAGGGUGGAGCCCUGGGAAUGAAAUGGAGGUGAGCACAAAGGGAGGUUUGUAAUCUGUGAAAGAGGACUCUGGCUGAAGUGGGAGUGCUGAAAAAUCAAACAGGAGACAGAGGUGGGAGAGGGACAGACACAGCAACCCUAAGGGAAGCUGAGAUGGCAUUCUCUGCACUGGCAAACAGAGGUGCCCCCUUCAAGUAUGCAUGUGCAGUAGAGCCUCCGUCCCAGGGGCCAGGACUGUAGGCAGCAGAGCAUGAGUGGACAGGCUGUCUCUGUGGUUCCUGGUUUUCACUGGCUGUGGCCUCACUGGUGGGGUACCAGCAAGGAAUAGACACAAGCAUGGAAUGGGGCUCCAUUCUCUCCUCUCAGACCUGGGCUUUUUUGUAAGAGUAGCAACCACAAUACAAACUGGUGAUGCAUAAGUACGGUCCUCAGCCCAUCCUGCUCUACACACCUAGAAAAUCUUGGCAGUCAGCUAGCAAUUUUGUUUUUGAUUUCGUUUUGUUUUGUCUUUGUGCUCAUACCAGGAGAUUCUGAUACAUGUAAAGUCUGAAUACCACCUGGCAUCCUUUAACCCCUUCACCACGUACAGGCCAUUAGAAACUGGCGCUCGAGAAGCCUGGAAAUGUAAGAGAUUAGAGAGCCACCAGGGCGCAAGAGCACACACCAAAUCUCUCCUUUUAAAUUAUUAUUAUUAUUUUUAAGGUAUGUGUCUGUGCUUGUGUGACUGCAUGCAGGAGCCCAUCAGCUUCUCUGGAACUGAAGCUACAGAAUGUUGUGAGCUUCCAUGUAGGUGCUGAGAGCCAAAGUCAGGUCUCCUGUAAGAGCAGCUGUAUAGCUCGAUUAACUGCCAAGCCAUCUACUCAGUACCUCAAAAGCAAUUCACCCCAGGACAGCCAGGGCUAUACAGAGAAACUCUGUCUCGCAAAAACCAAAACCAAAACCAAAAAACAGAGCCUUUUCCACAAAAUGUAUGGCUUUACCUUUCUUUGCUCUAUGGUGGGCUUCUCAGACUAAGCCCAUGAUAAGUCCGAUGUCCCAGGUAGCCAAAAAGCACUGUUUACUUACUAAGUGCUAAACGACACUAACAGUUGUUCCAGAGACAGCUAGCUAUGUCAGUGUCUUCAAUCAGCUUCCCUACGCUUCUGGAAUAAAGACUUACUUAUGAUUCAAAAACAACACCGAGAAGAAACGGCCGGCAUUUCAGGUUGUCUAGUUCUGGAGACAGGCACGGCUAUUCUCAGACUCAACACCCAGGAUUCGAAGACCAUAAAUGAGGUGAGGAGAAGCUGGAGAGGCAGCUUGUGGGGGAGAAGCUGGAGAGGCAGCUCGUGGGGGAGAAGCUGGAGAGGCAGCUCGUGGGGGAGAAGCUGGAGAGGCAGCUCGUGGGGAAGAAGCUGGAGAGGCAGCUCGUGGGGGAGAAGCUGGAGAGGCAGCUCGUGGGGGAGAAGCUGGAGAGGCAGCUCUUGGGGGAGAAGCUGGAGAGGCAGCUCGUGGGGGAGAAGCUGGAGAGGCAGCUCGUGGGGGAGAAGCUGGAGAGGCAGCUCGUGGGGGAGAAGCUGGAGAGGCAGCUUGUGGGGGAGAAGCUGGAGAGGCAGCUCGUGGGGGAACCUUACAGUCCUUAAGCUGGAGAACAAAACUAAAUCCCUUUCUGUGUUGCCACCUUUCACAAGGUAUUGCCACGUGAAUGCUGUGCGCACACAUGCGAGCACAUAGAGACACAAGGGCCAAGAGGGAAGACUGUCAGUGAGCUCUAUGGAAGCAGCAGACCCACGCCUUCGCCCACUUGGGCCGCUUUAACAAAAUACCACACACUGGGCUGGUUAUAGCAGCAAAGCAGUUUCUCAGGACUCAAGCUGGAAGCCGUAGAGCAAAGUACUGAGGGCCUGUUUCCUGGUGCAGACAGUGUGUCCCCGUGGAGGAAAGAACAAGGAAACUGCCUGUGGUGUCUUUUUAUAAAGGCACGAUCCUACUUAACCACCCACUCAUUUCCCAAAGGCCCCUGCCUGUCUUGAACCAUCGUGUUCCUGGCUCUGCUUCCAGGACCUGAGUUUGGCGGACAUAUUAGAACACAGUGAGCUGGGAUGCGAUUCCUUUCCUGUCUCCUUGUUGGCCAACAUUUAAUUCCUCCUCCUUCCUUCCUUUGGUCUGCUCGAUCCUUUCGGAACUCCCUCUUGAUUUUCUUCCCGUUUGAGACCAUGUCUCUUUAUGCAGCCCAGGCUGGCCUUAGACUGGGGCCCUUCCUCCUCUUGGGGUACUGAGCUCACAGGCAUGCCCAUCACCUCCAACUCUCCUUCCUAAUUUUUAAGGGAUCUCUUUUUUACUUUUUUCCCUGUAGUCCUCUAUUUCCCUGUACUUUGCUGAAAACACCUAAUUUCUUUUUUUCUUUUUUUUUUUUUUUAUUUAGGGAAAGCAAAAAGGGAAAGGCCUUCAGAGAACUAUAGAGAUGACCCCUCAAAGUAUAGUCUUGGGAGGCCCCCUGAAAAGUGAAGCACCAUGAGGCAGCCAGUGAACGCUACCUUUGAAGAAAAGGAAAACUGACAUCUGACAUGGAGACAAGACGCUCCAGGCUACGACACAGCAUCUUUACGUUUUUCCUGAUGACGACAGGUAAGGAUGGCUGAAAGGGUCUCUCUGAGUCACAUGCUCUGUGAGGAGAACACCUUCAAAGGCAUACCUCAGGUAGCCACCUCCCCCAACCUGAAGUCCGACCUCCUAAGUUCCCAAUAAUAUUGUCAAAUCAUGACUCUAUCAAUGGCCUAAGCCAUCGAUUAGGCCAGAGCCUUAAUGGCUACCUGAGCAGGAGGGCAUGAGCUCAGUCCUCCAGAACCCCCCACCCCCACCCCAAAGCCAGAGGCAACGGCAUACAUCUGCAAUCCCAGGGCUGGGGGCAUGGAGACUGGGCAGUCUCUAUCGCUCACUGGUCAGCAGGUCUAGUCAAAUCAGUGAGUUCCAAGUUCAGUGAGAGACUCUGUCUUUAAAAAGUAGAGUCAACACGGACUUAGGGAGAUCCUCAAUGUUGUUACGGAUGGUAAGGUGAUCCUCUGCUUACCCCCAUCCCUGCCUAUGGAGGCUUUCAGGGCACAGGAAUUAAAAGGAACAUCAGCCAACAUGUGUAGUGGCUUGAAUAUGCUUGGCCUGUGGAAAGUGGCACUAUCAGGAGGCCUGGUUGAAGAAAGUAUGUCACUGUGAGGGUGGGCUUUCAUGUCACCUAUGUCCCUAUGCUCAAGCUCUAUCCAGUAUGGAAGAGGGCCUUCUCCUGGCUGCCUUCAGAGGCAGUCUCCUUCUGGCUGCCUUCGGAUCAAGGUGUAGAACUCUUGGCUCAUCCAGCAUCAUGUCUCCCUGGAUGCUGCCAUGCUUCCUGCCGUGAUGAUAAUGGACUAAACCUCUGAAAGUAUAAGCCAGCCACAACUGAAGGGGCUGCCUUGGUCAUGGUCUCUUUUCACAGCAAUGAAACUCUAACUAAAACAACAUGUAAUUCUGCAAACGGAAAGUCAUAUAAUGUAUUCUUUCUUGAGCUGACAUUCUAAAAUGGAUAGCUUAAAGCUCUACAUACCUUGAA